rnacentral:rRNA from 1 species
AGAGUUUGAUCAUGGCUCAGGAUGAACGCUAGCUACAGGCUUAACACAUGCAAGUCGAGGGGAAACGGACAUCGAAAGCUUGCUUUUGAUGGCGUCGACCGGCGCACGGGUGAGUAACGCGUAUCCAACCUGCCCAUCACUUGGGGAUAACCUUGCGAAAGUAAGACUAAUACCCAAUGACGUCUCUAGAAGACAUCUGAAAGAGAUUAAAGAUUUAUCGGUGAUGGAUGGGGAUGCGUCUGAUUAGCUUGUUGGCGGGUAACGCCACCAAGGCGACGAUCAGUAGGGGUUCUGAGAGGAACGGUCCCCCACAUUGGAACUGAGACACGGUCCAAACUCCGUACGGGAGCA